GAAUGCUGACAUAAGUAACGAUAAAGCGGGUGAAAAGCCCGCUCGCCGGAAGACCAAGGGUUCCUGUCCAACGUUAAUCGGGGCAGGGUGAGUCGACCCCUAAGGCGAGGCCGAAAGGCGUAGUCGAUGGGAAACGGGUUAAUAUUCCCGUACUUGGUGUUACUGCGAAGGGGGGACGGAGAAGGCUAUGUUGGCCGGGCGACGGUUGUCCCGGUUUAAGCGUGUAGGUGUGUGUUCCAGGUAAAUCCGGUUCACUUUAACACUGAGGCGUGACGACGAGGCACUACGGUGCUGAAGCAACAAAUGCCCUGCUUCCAGGAAAAGCCUCUAAGCAUCAGGUAACAUCAAAUCGUACCCCAAACCGACACAGGUGGUCAGGUAGAGAAUACCAAGGCGCUUGAGAGAACUCGGGUGAAGGAACUAGGCAAAAUGGUGCCGUAACUUCGGGAGAAGGCACGCUGACACGUAGGUGAAGUGAUUUACUCAUGGAGCUGAAGUCAGUCGAAGAUACCAGCUGGCUGCAACUGUUUAUUAAAAACACAGCACUGUGCAAACACGAAAGUGGACGUAUACGGUGUGACGCCUGCCCGGUGCCGGAAGGUUAAUUGAUGGGGUCAGCGCAAGCGAAGCUCCUGAUCGAAGCCCCGGUAAACGGCGGCCGUAACUAUAACGGUCCUAAGGUAGCGAAAUUCCUUGUCGGGUAAGUUCCGACCUGCACGAAUGGCGUAAUGAUGGCCAGGCUGUCUCCACCCGAGACUCAGUGAAAUUGAACUCGCUGUGAAGAUGCAGUGUACCCGCGGCAAGACGGAAAGACCCCGUGAACCUUUACUAUAGCUUGACACUGAACAUUGAGCCUUGAUGUGUAGGAUAGGUGGGAGGCUUUGAAGUGUGGACGCCAGUCUGCAUGGAGCCGACCUUGAAAUACCACCCUUUAAUGUUUGAUGUUCUAACGUGGACCCGUUACCCGGGUUGCGGACAGUGUCUGGUGGGUAGUUUGACUGGGGCGGUCUCCUCCUAAAGAGUAACGGAGGAGCACGAAGGUUGGCUAAUCCUGGUCGGACAUCAGGAGGUUAGUGCAAUGGCAUAAGCCAGCUUGACUGCGAGCGUGACGGCGCGAGCAGGUGCGAAAGCAGGUCAUAGUGAUCCGGUGGUUCUGAAUGGAAGGGCCAUCGCUCAACGGAUAAAAGGUACUCCGGGGAUAACAGGCUGAUACCGCCCAAGAGUUCAUAUCGACGGCGGUGUUUGGCACCUCGAUGUCGGCUCAUCACAUCCUGGGGCUGAAGUAGGUCCCAAGGGUAUGGCUGUUCGCCAUUUAAAGUGGUACGCGAGCUGGGUUUAGAACGUCGUGAGACAGUUCGGUCCCUAUCUGCCGUGGGCGCUGGAGAACUGAGGGGGGCUGCUCCUAGUACGAGAGGACCGGAGUGGACGCAUCACUGGUGUUCGGGUUGUCAUGCCAAUGGCACUGCCCGGUAGCUAAAUGCGGAAGAGAUAAGUGCUGAAAGCAUCUAAGCACGAAACUUGCCCCGAGAUGAGUUCUCCCUGAGACUUAAAGUCUCCUGAAGGA
rnacentral:rRNA from 2 species